UUAUUUUAUUUUUAAAACUACCAAGAUAUUUGCAGUUCUGACUUUCUUAUAUAUUGGUUAAUCGUUCACUAUUAAUGAAAUUAUAAGAAAUAUUUUUUAUCUAGCUAAGUGUAAUGCUGUUGACUCAAUGGAAUGUGAAGAAUACAUAAGCCUUGAACAACUAUUCCCAGAUGAUGAGAAUGAUGGCAAUGAUGAUGAAGAAUUACCACGUGAACCCCUCAUCGUCUAUUGUUACUAAAAAUCCUCAACAAUAUAGGAAAAGAACUAAAGGAAGAAAAAAUCCACCCAAUGAAGACGAGAAAUUCUAUAGAAGCGAAAGGUUAAGAAAAUAAUAAAGCAAGAAGAGAAAUUAUUUCAACUGAAAUGUCAACAUAAAGAAGAGAUACAUAAUCUAACAA